UGCGAAGGCAGCUUACUAAACUGACACUGACGCUGAUGCACGAAAGCGUGGGGAUCGAACAGGAUUAGAUACCCUGGUAGUCCACGCCGUAAACGAUGAUCACUCGCUGUAUGCGAUACACAGUAUGCGGCCAAGCGAAAGCAUUAAGUGAUCCACCUGGGGAGUACGAUCGCAAGGUUGAAACUCAAAGGAAUUGACGGGGGCCCGCACAAGCGGAGGAACAUGUGGUUUAAUUCGAUGAUACGCGAGGAACCUUACCUGGGCUUAAAUGGGGAACGACAGCUGCCGAAAGGUGGCCUUCUUCGGACGUUCUUCAAGGUGCUGCAUGGUUGUCGUCAGCUCGUGCCGUGAGGUGUCGGGUUAAGUCCCAUAACGAGCGCAACCCUUAUCGUUAGUUGCCAGCGGGUCAAGCCGGGGACUCUAGCGAGACUGCCACCGUAAGGUGAGAGGAAGGUGGGGAUGACGUCAAAUCAGCACGGCCCUUAUGUCCAGGGCUACACACGUGUUACAAUGGCCAGUACAAAGGGCAGCUACCUGGUGACAGGAUGCUAAUCUUAAAAGCUGGUCUCAGUUCGGAUCGAAGUCUGCAACCCGACUUCGUGAAGCUGGAUUCGCUAGUAAUCGCGCAUCAGCCAUGGCGCGGUGAAUACGUUCCCGGGCCUUGUACACACCGCCCGUCAAACAAUGGAAGCUGGGGGUACCUGAAGUAUGUAACCGCAAGGAGCGUCCUAGGGUAAAACUAGUAACUGGUGUUAAGUCGUAACAAGGUAACCAAG
rnacentral:rRNA from 1 species